GACGAACGCUGGCGGCGUGCCUAAUACAUGCAAGUCGAGCGGACAGAAGGGAGCUUGCUCCCGGAAGUUAGCGGCGGACGGGUGAGUAACACGUGGGCAACCUACCCUGUAGAUCGGGAUAACAUCGAGAAAUCGGUGCUAAUACCGGAUAAUCAUUUGAAGUGCAUGCUUCGAAUGUAAAAGAUGGCUCCGGCUAUCACUACGGGAUGGGCCCGCGGCGCAUUAGCUGGUUGGUAAGGUAAUGGGGUACCAAGGCAACGAUGCGUAGCCGACCUGAGAGGGUGAUCGGGCACGCGGGGACUGAGGCACGGCCCAAACUCCUACGGGAGGCAGCAGUAGGGAAUCUGCCGCAAUGGACGAAAGUCUGACGGAGCAACGCCGCAUGAGUGAUGAAGGUUUUCGGGUCGUAAAGCUCUGUUGUUAGGGAAGAACAAGUGCCGUUUGAAUAAGGCGGCACCUUGACGGUACCUAACCAGAAAGCCACGGCUAACUACGUGCCAGCCGCCGCGGUAAAAC
rnacentral:rRNA from 1 species